AUUGAACGCUAGCGGGAUGCCUUACACAUGCAAGUCGAACGGAGUGGCGAACGGGGGAGUACUGUAUAGGAACGUGCCCAGGAGCGGGGGAUAACUAAGCGAAAGCGUAGCUAAUACCGCAUACUAUUGGAGCGGGCGAUAUCGGAUUAGAUGGUUGGUGGGGUAACGGCUCGCCAAGGCGCAGAUCCGUAGCUGGUUUGAGAGGGUGAGCGGCCAGACGGGGACUGAGACACGGCCCAGACUCCUACGGGAGGCAGCAGUGGGGAAUGUUGGACAAUGGGGGAAACCCUGAUCCAGCCAUCCCGCGUGUGCGAUGAAGGCCUUCGGGUUGUAAAGCACUUUUGGCAGGGAAGCGGUACCUGCAGAAUAAGCACCGGCUAACUACGUGCCAGCAGCCGCGGUAAUAC
rnacentral:rRNA from 1 species